ensembl:lncRNA
CACGUCUGAAAUGCAGUGCAAUUCUCUUAACAGUCUCCUAAUUUCUUUUAUUUACCUUCGUGUUUCUUCUAGCUUUGCCACUUCAGCAAAAGAAAUGGAGGGAACUUUUACGUACAAACUGACUGAAUAAGUUUCAGUGAGUUGUACAUCACAAAUUGAGAUCAUGACAAUGCACGUGAAAGAUUGUACAUCACAAAAAAAUUUGACCCCAUUGAGAUCAUGACAAUGCACGUGAAAGCUGGAUUUGGUUUGGUGAGGAUUUCAGGGCUGUGGAACAAGUCAAACAACGUCUUUCCUCGGUCUUUUCAGCAGACUUUACAUCCUUUCAAAGGAAUAGGAACUUGAGCAGCUGAGACCAAUGCGUGUAUAAACUUCCUGACCAAAAAAAGGAAUCAUGUAACGCGUUUCAGAUACUUCUAAGAAAAGUAUCCAGAGCUCUUAGCGGUAUGGAGGAUGCAGAUUUGAUGCCUCUCUCAAGUUAUGGGAGCUGUGGUUUGAACACUCUGAAGGAAAUGAGUUCCCUGCUCACUGGGCUAGAAUAUAUUGAAAUAGACGUGCUCUCAGCCCAGCACUGUUUUGCUCCAGAAGCCUGUUAUCCUAAUUACCAGCAUCUUGAAGGCAAAACUGCAAGAGUCUGUCACUGCCAAUCCAUGCUCCAAAGAGAAGUAGCGGAGAGAACAAGGGGAGAAGCAGAUAACAAAAAUUCCACUUAUUUUCUAAUGGCUCUUGGAAGUUCCUGUAGAAUUCAGGUAAUACCCAAAAGUACUGUUCACAUACAGAGGGGAGCACAGUGUAGAAGUCUGCUGUAGAAUAAAGGAGGAGAAAAACUACA